AAGAAGUAUGACGCAUUUUUUUAAUAACCAAUCGGAGAGCAGAAUAGGGAUCAGUCGCCGAGAGCGUGUUCAACCGCAAAGCACGCAUGCGUAUAUGUAAGCCGCAAUAUCCAGCGAGCUGUGAUCAUCUGACAAUUCCAGGAGACUGCCGGUGCCAGUGGAUAAUCGUAUAUUAAAACAGUACAGUUUUGAGUACUGGAUUCCAUAACUCUGGCUUCAGUGAGGCGCAAACUAAGGGCAUGGUCAGAAGCAUAUCUACACUUCUCUCAGCCCUGCGCUUUUCUACCUGCCUGAGAGAAGCGGAUCCACUUCAGUACGCCGCUCUGUGUGUGUAUGUGCACUAGAAGCAAUGGCAACGGCCCAAGUGUGCGCAGAUUGGCGGUGGCCUGGAAAACGUUUGCUUUUGUGUUUGUUGUACUCCCACACUUCUUUCUGUUAUAGCAAAAACUUGCAUUGCAUUUAUUCCUGUCAUAUGUUCAUGAGUAAAAGCUUUGCAAAAUGGUGGCUCAGGACAAAAGUCGGAAAAAUGCAAAUAUUUAUAAAAAUGUAUAUUCCAAUGCCAGAGAAUGUCAGAGCUGUCAACCAGCAUUAAAUAAUGUCUCAAAAAGACCUGGAGUAGAUCAUUAUUUCCCUCAUAACAAGGGUUGGCAACUCUAGAAUGUGUCAAUUACAGUCAAAGUACACAGUUCUGUUUUCAUCCCCUUCACCCUGCUUCUAGUCCUGUCCACUGAUUGCCCUUGCUGAUUCCCCAUGAACCCAACACCUACAAAUCCAGUUCAACUUAUGCUGAUAUCACUAAAAGUACUUGUUUACCUAAACCUAAUAUGGCUACCACUGACAUAUCAUGAGAAAUAGCAGGCCAUACCAGAUGGUAGGAAUUGCAAAGACACCAACCCUGAAAGAGGAUACAUUAACCUCUUUAUAUUAUAUUUAAUUUAGCUCUUGGUUAGAGGCAUAGUAGUGUUUAAUACAAUAGUUGACAUUGUUUUCUGGUAAGAGUAAAACUUAUUUCAGUGAAUAAAAUAUUAUAUUAAACUCUA